ACCAGGCGGCACAUACAUGAUCCCAGACACCGAAGUAACCUCUGUCUCACUCCUCCACUUCCAGCAAGGGGAUGGAAAACAAACUGAAACUGGCUCAAGUGAAUGCUCACUGGAAGGCUUACUGGAAAACUUACUGGAAGGAUGUGAGGACAUGUUCGGGAAUCUAUUUGCAGAAAACAUAUUCAGGCCCUGUCCACCACAGCCAGCUGGCUGAAGAGCUCAAAAGGCAAGAAAUCAGCAAGAGAGAGAGAUGAAGCAUGAGAAAUGAGCAAAAAACACCCAGCACAUCAUAAUCUUGGACAGUUUAGCAGUACAUGAAAAUAGAUGGUCCUCGCCCCAAGGGACUGCAGUAACCCUGAAUAAACAGGAUGUCUCUCACUUUUAGCAGUUCUUUCUGUGCUAGUAUUGGGGAAAUAUAUUUUUGGCUGCAUGCAAAAUGGUAAAAGACAUCUAUUAAGAAAAUGAAAACAAUGCUUCUGUUUUAGACGAAGCUUUUGAAGGUUUAAGGAUCACCUAUUUAUUGACAAAAUUGUUUCCGUGGCUUAAAAAUAAAAUACAAACAAAUACUA
rnacentral:lncRNA from 1 species